rnacentral:rRNA from 1 species
UGGCGGACGGGUGAGUAACGCGUGGGCAACCUGCCCCAUACCGGGGGAUACCAGCCGGAAACGGCUGCUAAUACCGCAUAAGCGCACGGUAUCGCAUGAUACAGUGUGAAAAGCUCCGGUGGUAUGGGAUGGACCCGCGUCCGAUUAGCCAGUUGGCGGGGUAGAGGCCCACCAAAGCGACGAUCGGUAGCCGGCCUGAGAGGGCGGACGGCCACAUUGGGACUGAGACACGGCCCAAACUCCUACGGGAGGCAGCAG